UACGUAGGGUGCAAGCGUUGUCCGGAAUUAUUGGGCGUAAAGAGCUCGUAGGCGGCUCGUCGCGUCGGCUGUGAAAACCUGGGGCUCAACCCCGGGCCUGCAGCCGAUACGGGCGAGCUAGAAUUCGGUAGGGGAGACUGGAAUUCCUGGUGUAGCGGUGAAAUGCGCAGAUAUCAGGAAGAACACCCGUGGCGAAGGCGGCUCUCUGGUACGUGACUGACGCUGAGACGCGAAAGCGUGGGGAGCGAACAGG
rnacentral:rRNA from 1 species